rnacentral:rRNA from 1 species
UUACGCUGUUAUCCCUUAGGUAAUUUAGUCUUAUAAUCAAUAAAAAUGGAUCAAACACAUAUAAAUAAAUAUAUAUAAACAAAAAGAGUUAAUUUAAUCUUUUCAUCACCCCAACAAAAUAAAUUUUUAUAUUAAAAAAUAUCAUACAAAAAAAAAUAAAAAUCUAUAAAACUCUAUAGGGUCUUCUCGUCCCAAAAACCCAUUUAGGCAUUUUAACCUAAAAUUUAAAUUCAAUAAAAAAAUUAAAGACAGUUAACACCUCGUCAAACCAUUCAUUCCAGCCUACAAUUAAAAGACUAAUGAUUAUGCUACCUUUGCACGGUCAAAAUACCGCGGCCAUUCAAUAUUCAGUGGGCAGGCCAUACAUCAAAAUAUAUUCAAGAAGAGAUGUUUUUGAUAAACAGGCG